rnacentral:pre_miRNA from 1 species
UACCCAAAAUUUUAUCUAUAUAUAUUGUUAAAAAUUGGCGUGGUUUUUUAAAUAAUAGAUAGUGACAAGAGACGUGCCACGUGUACCUCAUGUUGAUGUACAGGGACAAAUUUUUAACAGCAGAAAUGGAUGAAAUUUUUAAUA